UACAUGGGGUGCAAACGUUGCUCGGAAUUAUUGGGCGUAAAGCGCGCGUAGGCGGUUACUCAAGUCGGAUGUGAAAGCCCUCGGCUUAACUGAGGAAGUGCACCCGAAACUGAGUAGCUAGAGUACUAAAGAGGGUCGCGGAAUUCCCGGUGUAGAGGUGAAAUUCGUAGAUAUCGGGAGGAACACCGGUGGCGAAGGCGGUUCUCUGGGCCUUACCUGACGCUGAGGAGCGAAAGCGUGGGGAGCGAACAGG
rnacentral:rRNA from 1 species